rnacentral:rRNA from 2 species
AUCAGCAACGUCGCGGUGAAUGCGUUCCCGGGCCUUGUACACACCGCCCGUCAAGUCAUGAAAGUGGGCAGCACCCGAAGCCGGUGGCCUAACCCCUUGCGGGAGGGAGCCGUCUAAGGUGAGGCUCGUGAUUGGGACUAAGUCGUAACAAGGUAGCCGUACCGGAAGGUGCGGCUGGAUCACCUCCUUU